rnacentral:rRNA from 1 species
AUGGCGACCGACGCGAUCCUGGAGACCAUCAAGCCUCGGCGGAGCCCGUGGCUGGAGGACCUCCCGGUGACGAAUGGGGGCGCAGCGAAGGGCGGCAAGGUGGACCUGUCCGGGAUGCGCCGGCGCGUGUCGUCGUCCUUGUCACUGAGCCUCCAGCCGCUGUCCUCGUCGUCGUCCGCGGCGUUCCGGCGCGCGCGGUCGAUGCCGUCGAUCAAGGCGCUGGCGGCGGCGGGCGCGGUGCGGCAGUGGUGGGAGUGGGGGCUCGGUUGGGUGAUGACCCGGAAGCCCUCCUUCGCGCGUGGCCUCGAGAUGAGCGAGGACGAGGCCGCCCUGCUCGGGUGCCACUGCCGCGGCACGCUCCGGCACGUCUUCUACAAGGCACGCGCCGAGGUGCGCCGCCUCCUCGGCCGCGACGGCCGCCCGCUCGGGGGCGUCGCGGCGCAGGACUUCAGGUACGACUCCGUCAGCUACGCUCAGAACUUCGACAACGGCGACGUCGACGCCAGAUGCUAG